UACAUUAUAGUGUAGGGGGCACGAAAAUUUUUGAUAUUUUUAGGGACAGUUUAAAUCUGUCGGAUGUAG
rnacentral:tRNA from 1 species